AAAAGAAUUUAUAGCCAUGCAUGUAUAAGUACAAACGACUCGAUCGUGAAACCGCGAACGGCUCAUUAUAACAGCUAUAAUUUACUUGAUCUUGACAAUCCUACUUGGAUAACUGUGGUAAUUCUAGAGCUAAUACAUGCACCAAAGCUCCGACCUCGCGGGAGGAGCGCAUUUAUUAGAACAAAACCAAGCGGGCGCUUCGCGGCGCUCGUUUUUUGUUGACUCAGAAUAACUAAGCUGAUCGCAUGGUCUUGCACCGGCGACGUGUCUUUCAAGUAUCUGCCUUAUCAACUUUCGAUGGUAGUGUAUCUGACUACCAUGGUUGUGACGGGUAACGGAGGAUAAGGGUUCGACUCCGGAGAAGGGGCCUGAGAAAUGGCCACUACGUCUAAGGAUGGCAGCAGGCGCGCAAAUUACCCACUCUCAGAACACUGAGGAGGUAGUGACGAGAAAUAACGAGGCCGUUCUCUAUGAGGCCGGUCAUCGGAAUGGGUACAAUCUAAACCCUUUAACGAGUAUCUAUGAGAGGGCAAGUCUGGUGCCAGCAGCCGCGGUAAUUCCAGCUCUCAAAAUGCAUAGAAUUAUUGCUGCGGUUAAAAAGCUCGUAGUUGGAUCUGUGCGACGGGAGUCGGUCCAGCCUCACGGCUGCGCUACUGACCACCCGCGCUUUCCGGUCGGUUUUCGCGUCGUGGCUUUCAUCGGCUGCGGCGCGUGGCUGACGAGUUUACUUUGAACAAAUCAGAGUGCUUAACACAGGCGUUUCGCUUGAAUGUUCUUGCAUGGAAUAAUAGAAGAGGAUCGCGGUCCGAUUUUAUUGGUUUUAUGGACUGAGAUAAUGGUUAACAGAGACAAACGGGGGCAUUCGUACCGCUGCGUGAGAGGUGAAAUUCUUGGACCGCAGCGAGACGAACUACAGCGAAAGCAUUUGCCAAGAAUGUCUUCAUUAAUCAAGAACGAAAGUCAGAGGUUCGAAAGGCGAUCAGAUACCGCCCUAGUCUCGUGGACCGUUAAAA
rnacentral:rRNA from 1 species